GAAAAAGAUACAAAAGAAGAACAGAAUAGAAACAGAGAAAGAGACGAAAACAGGGGAAGAAAAAGGGGAAAGAAAAGAAAAAGGGAAAAUUGGAUUUUAAAGCUUCAAGCUUAAUUGCUAACAAGGAAAACGAGGCAUCGGCAUCCAAAGGAAAAGAAAAGAUCGUUGAGGAGUAAACGUGUAUUCCGGGUUAUAGAAGUCAAGUACUAAAUCAGCAUCCAAAACCAGACCCGACUUCAGCAAAUUUUGGUGAUGUAUAUUUUCUUUUAGUAAUGUGGCAUAUACAUAGGAUUUGUAUAAACGUUAUUAUGUUUUGAAUAUAAAUAGUUAAAAAUGUUAGUAUUAUAAAUCUAAAAUUUUAAUGAAAUAAAUUUAUUCAUUCCAAUUUAAUUAGUACAUUGAUAAAUUUAAAUUGAUAUUGAAUUAAUUGAGUUUGAUUAGAAUGUAUUUAGAAUAGAAAAUGUGAAUGUGAAAUGAAUUGGUUGAAUUGGUUAUGUUUGGAAAAGUUAUGGUUUUAUUUGCGGGAGGUUUAAUGUAAAAAGAAGUAGAAAUCUUUUAAAUUUGUAUAAUAAAAAAAAUCGAAUGAAGUCAAUUAGUAAUGUUUAUAUGAAUUUAUGAAUUAUAUAUUUUUUAAUAUGUUGGUUAUUUAUGAUAUGUUUAUUUGUAAAUUGUUUGAUAUAUCCGGUAAUGCCUCGUAACCCUGUGCCGGCGACGGUUUGGGGUUAGGGGGUGUUACAAAUUGAAAGUAUGAAUUGUUUUGGACCUUUUGGAAAAAUUAGUUGAAAUGGGAUUUUCUUGAUUUUAAUUAAAUAGUAUGAUUUAGAAUUGAGGAUUUAAUUGUACUAAGGGUAAAUGUAGACUGCAGAUAAGUAAAAAUGUAAUUAAAUGGUAGGAUGGUUUGAAUUUGAGCUUGAUAGGGUGUUUGAAUUAGUUAAUAAAUUAAUUUAUUAUGUUUAGAUCAAGAAACAAGUAAAUGGAUUGUAAAUCAGGGAAAGAGAGAAGGUUGCGGAAUAAUCUUCUUCGGUUUUAAGUAAGUUUGCAUUCCCUGAACUCGAACUUAUAAAUUGUUUUAAUUAAUCUAGAUACUACUUGAUGUCUUAUUAUAUCCUUAAUGUAUUUGUUAAUUCAAUUGAAUAGAGGUUUAUGGAUGUAUAUGUAUAUCUAUAUAAAAUGUUAUAUAAAAUGUGAUAUUGAGUUAUGAAAAGUAAUAUUAUGGAACUAAUCAAUGAAUGUUUAGUAGUUAAUUGAGGUGAAUGUGAUAUGGAAUUAUGAAAUAUGAUAUUGAAUUGUGUAUAUGAUAUUAUGGAUUUGCAAUGGUAUAAUUGUUGUCGAUUCGUUCGGCUAGUGUUGGGCACAACCAUCGUCAGUUAUCUGACUAGCGCUAGGCGCAACUUCUGUCAGUUUAUCUGACUAGCGUUGGGUACAAUCAUCGUCUGUUAUCCGAUUAGCGCUGGGCGCAACUUUCGUCAAUUUAUCUGACUAGUGCUGGGCACAACCAUCGUCGGUUAUCUGACUAGCGCUAGGCGCAAAACAUUGUCAACUUGUUCGACUAGUGUUGGGCACACAAAUGAUCUUGUCGAGUUAAACGACUAGCGUUGGGGACAAAACCUUAUUUACGGUCUAACCGUUAGGCACCGAGUGCCAUUUAUUGGAUGAUACAUUUCAGUAAGGUAUAAUAAUUCAUGAGAGGAUAUUUGUAUAUAAAUAAUGUUAUGGAUAUGAUUUAAUGAGAAUUAUGGUAAACUUCAUUGAGAUGACUUAUAUUUUAUGAAAUGUAAACUUUUGGUUAAUAGUUGUAAGUGGGAUCCUUUGAGAACAUGGGUUGCUUACUAUUUGAAUUUUCACUGGACUGCAGGUUAGAUAUUUACCAUUGUUCUACGACUAGCAUCCAUGACAAAUCUCGUACUCAAUGUUGGUGAUGUAUUUCUUUUUGUGUUUUGGCAUGUACCUAGGAUGAUAUUUUGGGGUCUUAAACUUUUAGUGUAUAGUUAUGAAUGGGUGUAAUAUGUCUUAGAAGUUGAGUCUUUUAAACAUAUGAUUACAAGUAAGGUAUACAUAUACAGAUAUGGUGGAUAUGUGUUUAUGGAAAAAAAGUUUUGUAAUGCUUAAAACUGCUCGUGUAUGUAACACCCCUUACCCGAGACCGUUUCCGGA